AAGGGAGGCCGAGACCCGUCAGACUACAUGUCCCAGCCGAGCCGGCGCCGCCUUUUUCUCUCCCCCGCCCUCCCCUCCUUUCCCCCACCCCGCCCCCCCUCCAGUCUAGGGGGGGAAAUAGGGGAACGGUAGGGGGGUUACCCCCAGGUCAGCGCGCGAAUCGGGCAUUUAAGCUGGCAUCUGCUCCCCGGUCUUUGUCGCCGAGACAACACGCCCCCUGAGCUGUGGGCAGCUGCGGUGAGCUGGCUGGGAAAGUUGGCGUUGUUUAUGAAUUUCCUGCCACCACUGUGAAGACUGAGAGGAAGCGCGGGAGGAGAAAAGAGAGAACAGGUCGACUGGGGAAGCUAGAGUAAACUCCAGAAAACAUGCGGAUCCCCCAGGAAAGGAGCCAGCAACAAUUGCCCUGCAGGAACUUGUGAGCUCCCGAGUUCUUCAGGCAGAGUUGAUUGACAGUAGCAAGAUUUUCUCCAUCUCAGAGAAGGUGACCAAUGACAGGAAAUGAAGCUAAGCUUAGCAGAAGACAUAGACCCUGAAGGUAUUAUUCAAAUAGUGAAGAGUUGAGGUUAAGGAAAAAUGGGUGUUCAUGAGUCUCAUAAAAUGUUUCAUUCCAGAAAAAGAUAAUGACAAAUGUUGGAAGGGAUGUGGGAAAACUGGGACACUAAUACAAUGUUGGUAGAACUGUAAAUAGAUACAACCAUUCUGGAGAGCAAUUUGGAACUAUGCUCAAAAAGUUGUUAUACUGUCUAUACCCUUUGACCCAGUAGUGUUUCUACUGGGCUUAUAUCCCAAAGAGAUCUUAAAGGAGAGAAAGGAACCCACAUGUACAAAAAUGUUUGUGGCAGCCCUGUUUGUAGUGGCUAGAAACUGGAAAAUGAAUGGAUGUCCAUCAAUUGGAGAAUGGUUGAGUAAAUUGUGGUAUAUGAAUGUUAUGGAAUAUUAUUGUUCUGUAAGAAAUAAUCAACAGGAUGAUUUCAGAAAGGCCUGGAGAGGCUUACAUGAACUGAUGCUGAGUGAAAUGAGCAGAACCAGGAGAUCAUUAUACACUUCAACAAUACUAUAUGAGGAUCAAUUCUAAUGGAUGUGACUCUCUUCAACAAUGAGAUGAUUCAAAUCAAUUCCAAUUGUUCAGUGAUGAAGAGAGCCAUCUACACCCCGAGAGGACUGUGGGAACUAAGUGUGAGCCAAAACAUAGCAUCUUUACUUUUUCUGUUGAUGUUUCCUUGCAUUUUGUUUUCUUUCUCAGGUGGUUUUUUUUCCUUUCUUUAACCAAUUUUUCUUGGGCAGCAAGAUAACUGUAUGUAUAUAUAGAUAUUGGCUUAAACACUUAUUUGAACAUAUUUAACAUAUAUUAGCCUACCUGCCAUCUAGGGGAGAGGGUGGAGGGAAGGAAGGAAAAAUUUGGAACAGAAAGUUUUGCAAGGGUCAUGCUGAAAAAUUACCCAUGCAUAUUUUUAUAAAUAAAAAGCUUUAAUAAAAUAAAAUUUUUCAUGCUUUAAUAUUUUAAGUAUUGACCUUCUAAGAGAAUAUAAUAAGAAUUAUGGGUUAGUAUUUCCUGUUUUGAGUAGUUUUCAAUAGAUACUUAUCAGCUAUUCUAUACUUGAUUAGCAUUGUAUUUCGCCACAUUUUCCUUCUUUGAAAGAUUCCAGAAUUGAGCCAAACCUACUAAUUAAGUGGUUCCCCCCCAAAAAAUAAAAUCACAUAAUGCUCCCUCCCCCUCAAAAAAAAAGUUUAUAUCAUGAUCCCAUUCAAUGAAAAUUUUGUUUCUAGAAAAUGGAAUAGCCUAAUAUUCUAAAACACAAUUGACCAUGCUUUCCAAUUCCCAACUGGGGAACCAUAUCCUUUUAUUUUUUGGCUGGUCCCUUUUUCCUUCCUGUUAGCAAGAGCUUAAGCUGGCAACUAAGGACUCCCUUAAUAUCUGGGAUCAUAUUUUUUCCUGUUUAUACAAAGCUCAUGUGUAAGUUCACAGUGUUAUUAUAUAUUAUUACAAAGUAUAAAAACCUUUAGUACUAUUGCACCAUGACUUAGGACAAAAAAUAUAUAUUCAUUUGCCCUGAAAUAUGUCAUAUGGGCAAUUCUAUACAACUGUAAAUCUGAGUUCACACAAUUCUGUAAGCUUGGGACCUAGAUGGGCCUGAAGGCAGGUGAUAAGACCCUCUGCCAUUCUGCUACCCAUCAGCAGGCUAAACCUGCCAAGACCGAUGCUUCCCCUGUGGCAUGGCAGAUCCUAUUACCUGCAGCUGUGAGGGCAAGUCUGUGCUUCAUUAUAUCAGUAAGAGGAAAGACAACUCAUGUAGAAAAGAAAAUUAGAAUGACUAAUGUGUAAAAUAGUUAGCAGGAAGUAAGGAGUGAUUGGGAAUAGACAAGGUCCAGGAGGGCUCUGGGAUGAUGUUUUCCAGGAUAAGAAUGUUUGUAAAGGCUCCAAGCCAGUCUCCAGAUGCAGUCUUUUGUGUGUGCUAAUAUUUGUCAAUACUUGCAUAGCCUUUGUUCUGACACCAGGUUCUUGCCAGUUGCUGGUUCUGCAGAUGGAAAAGGGAAAUCAAAAGUCCACCAAGGGACCAGCGAUGCUAAGCUAUCCACAGACUUCAGUCAAAGAAAAUAAAUCUACACUCAGGCUCACAUAAUUGUUACAUUCUGCAGGUAAUUUCUGUGAUGUGUUCUAUUUAUUACCCAUGAGUUUCUGUUUUCAAUGUUUUAUUUUAUUUCCAAAAAGGAAAUAAAGAGAAAAAAGAGUAAAGCAAAGCAAAGGGGAGCAGACAAAUAUUCACAACCAACAGAGAUUUUUCAAUUCAUCGUGGUAAUUUGAAAUAAUAAACUUAUUAAAUAUAUCAGGAAAAAACAGCAACAAAUAAAGGUAGAAAAGAUACCCUGUACUUCUUGCACAAUUCCCACACAGUAUCCAGAGGCCUUCUAAGGCAACAAGCAUAUUCUUUUGACAUUCUUGUCUAUUGUGAUUGUAUUUAUUGCUUAUUGUCUUCCUUAUACAAUUAAAAUUUUAUUCCAAUAUCCAAUAAUUUCCAUGGUAGGAAACUAUGAAUGUAAGUGACAAGCACAUUGAAAGAAAAUUUAAACAUAUUGCAUGUCAUUU